rnacentral:ncRNA from 19 species
ACUUAUUCUCAGGGCAGGGUGAAAUUCCCUACCGGCGGUAUGUCCCCCGUGGACGAGCCCGCGAGCGCCUGCUGCAGUACAGCAGGGUCAGCAGAUCCGGUGAGAGGCCGGAGCCGACGGUGACAGUCCGGAUGGGAGAGAAUAAGG